UACCAGCACCCCGAGUGGUCGGGACGAUUAUUGGGCCUAAAGCAUCCGUAGCCGGUCCUACAAGUCUUCCGUUAAAUCCACCUGCUCAACAGAUGGGCUGCGGAAGAUACUAUAGGGCUAGGAGGCGGGAGAGGCAAGCGGUACUCAGUGGGUAGGGGUAAAAUCCUCUGAUCCAUUGAAGACCACCAGUGGCGAAGGCGGCUUGCCAGAACGCGCUCGACGGUGAGGGAUGAAAGCUGGGGGAGCAAA
rnacentral:rRNA from 1 species